GAGAAGUUUGUUUUGUUUUCGUGCGCGUAGGAGACGAGACGUACGAAUUAAAUCAGUCGAGGGAAGGAUAAACGUUAGAAAGGAAUUAAAGAGAAAACGAGAGUUUAUGUAAAAGAGAGUUAUAGAAUUUAUAGUGAUGUUUUGUUUUAAUUAGAAAAAUGUUGAGAGUUGUUUCAGAACGACACGUCAGUGGACGUGGCAGAGUGAACACGUGACGGGGAGGUGCUGAGACCUAGCGGAGAACGGAGGAACCGCAAGCGAGGGUUGGCGCACCUGAUGGAAUUCGGUGACGUCACGGGCUCAUAAGGAGACGUGGACAGGCCGUGACCUUGUUUUGAUCAGCUGUACGGUAACUUAGCGAUAAGAAAAUAGACUAUUGGUUAAAUAAAUUUAAAUUUAAGUGUGUUUUAGAAGAAGAGGAACUUUCAGUAUAUUCCUUAAGAUGAGCUGAGCAGCAGUCCAGUUUACAAGAUGACAAGAGUUCGAGAGACAAGAUACAAGAUCACUGAAACAAGAGCCAAGACUGAAGAUUCAAGAGAAGAGAAAGCUGGCAGCCAUGGACUUACAAGUGGAGAUUAAUAAGGUCAUGUAAAGUUUUAUUUUUUUUUUAUGGAAGACAGUAACUGGAGUUUUUUUUUGUUAUAAACAUUAUUUACAGAACUUUUUAGGUUAUAGUAAUGUAAUGGAACUAGUGAGUUGUGGUAGCUGUCAAAAAGAACUAAUACCUUAAGUUUAAUUUUUAAAGUUAAUUUUCUUAAUUUACAGAGGGAUUAGUAGUUUUUUUUAAACCUUAUUUAGGUUGGAAUUUAAAUACAAUAGUUUAUUAUAAAUGUGUACGAACAGUUCAAGUUCACAGUACUGAUAGGUAGGUCAGAUGAUCUUAUUGAUUUUGAUGAUUUGUUGUUUUGAGUUGAUUUUUAAGUGUUGUGAAUUAGACAAUGAAAUAGUUCUGAAAACUUAAAUUAUUUCAAGCUAAGAAAUAGUAAAGUUAAUUGUAACUCAAAGGACACCAGAAUUUAAUUUUUUUUUGAAUUAGUAAUGUUUGAAAAUUUUAUACUUUACAAGAAAGGUUAUAAACAAACAGAUCGGAUGGAACAAGGAUGCAGUAAAUCACAAUUUCAUUUAGAAUUAUUGAUUUGCUUUUGAGGUUAUGAAGGAAAAGUAGCUAUAAUUUAAAAGUUUGAAUAAAAAAAAAAUGUUUUUUUUUAUUUGUUUGAAAUAGAAAGUUUAAAAGUUAAUUAGUCAUGAUCUAGGUGGGUGAUGGGGUGGGAAUUGGCCACUCUUUUUCCCUAUAACCUCCCUAACAUGGCCUUCUAUUACAACUAACAGAAAUAAAGAAGAAGAAAAAUGAAGAAUUAUUAGUUAGAAUGUUUCUUUCAUGAAGAUACCUGAUGAACUUUUACUGUUUGGAAGAAUAGAAGCAAGGUUAGUCAGAUAUUUUUACUCAGAAGAAGAAGAAGAUAAAGCAGUUUUAUGACUCGACAAGCCAGAGAUUGGUGUUUCCCCUCUGCGCUUCUAUUGACUACGUUGUUUACUCUCAUGGGAUAGCUGGUUCGGCACCAUGGAGAGAGAUUGGUGGGCAUUGUGGUUGCCCCCAGAAGAAAAGAAGAGUAGAAGAGGUUAUGGGUGGGUCAUGUGAACUGACCUUCAACCCAGUUACUUCGUGGGGACUAUUUGCUGUAUAGAGAAGAUCAAGACUCAAGAGUUAGGGAAAAUCAUUGGAGGUCAUGUUUCCCUUCCUUAAGUUUUUCCUAUCAAAUUAUUUGCCUGAUUAGAUUAUGCUAAGGGUGGGAUACUUUAUGUUAGCAGUUGAAUUAAUUAAUUUUAUUUUUUUGUGUGUUUGCAUCCUUGCCCAUCGAUUGCAGUUUAGUAGUUAGUUUUGUAUUUGUCAGGCGUGAUGGUAAUGCCUGUUGAUGAUGUUUCAGAAUUGUAAUCUGUUCGUGAUGAGGAUGGCACAACUCCGAAGCAGAUGUGGGGAGAAGUUGUGAGCUGCCCUGGAAGCCAGUCCAGUAGCUGUUGGAGUUGAGUGGUGUUUGCUGAUGGCCAGCCCAGGGAGCUACUCUUCUCGACAACACUGACUUCGAGGAGUUGCACCAACCUUCACGAGAUAAGAGUUUAAUUAAUUGAAACACUGUAAGGACACUUAAUUUUUUUUGAAGAACGAAAGAAGUAUGGUAAUAAACGGAAACCGAAAAAAAAAAAAA